CUACGGGGUGCAGCAGUGGGGAAUAUUGCACAAUGGAGGAAACUCUGAUGCAGCGACGCCGCGUGAGUGAAGAAGUAUUUCGGUAUGUAAAGCUCUAUCAGCAGGGAAGAUAGUGACGGUACCUGACUAAGAAGCACCGGCUAAAUACGUGCCAGCAGCCGCGGUAAUACGUAUGGUGCAAGCGUUAUCCGGAUUUACUGGGUGUAAAGGGAGUGUAGGUGGCAUGGCAAGUCAGAAGUGAAAGCCCAGGGCUCAACCCUGGGACUGCUUUUGAAACUGCCGAGCUAGAGUGCAGGAGGGUAAGUGGAAUUCCUAGUGUAGCGGUGAAAUGCGUAGAUAUUAGGAGGAACACCAGCGGCGAAGGCGGCUUACUGGACUGUAACUGACACUGAGGCUCGAAAGCGUGGGGAGCAAACAGGAUUAGAUACCCCAGUAGUC
rnacentral:rRNA from 1 species